UGAGGAAUAUUGGUCAAUGGGCGGGAGCCUGAACCAGCCAAGCCGCGUGAGGGAGGAAGGCCCUAUGGGUCGUAAACCUCUUUUGUCAGGGAACAAAAGCGAGUAUGUAUACUAGUCUGAGUGUACCUGAAGAAAAAGGCAUCGGCUAACUUCGUGCCAGCAGCCGCGGUAAUACGGAGGAUGCGAGCGUUAUCCGGAUUUAUUGGGUUUAAAGGGUGCGUAGGCGGCGGUGCAAGUCAGCGGUAAAAGCCCGGGGCUCAACCCCGGCGAGCCGUUGAAACUGCAGUGCUAGAGAAGGCGAGAGGUACGCGGAAUGCGCAGUGUAGCGGUGAAAUGCUUAGAUAUUGCGCAGAACUCCGAUUGCGAAGGCAGCGUACUGGCGCCUGACUGACGCUGAGGCACGAAAGCGUGGGGAUCGAACAGGAUUAGAUACC
rnacentral:rRNA from 1 species